rnacentral:rRNA from 1 species
ACGAACGUUGGCGGCGUGCUUAAUACAUGCAAGUCAACUGAAGCACCGGUAGCAAUACUGGUGUGGAGGUGGCGCACGGGUGAGUAACACGUAGGUAAUCUGCCUUCAGGUCUGACAUAACCCCGGGAAACCGGGGCUAAUAUCAGAUGAUGCAGCGGCUUGACAUCAAGACAGUUGUUAAAGCUUCGGUGCCUGAAGAUGAGCCUGCGUCUGAUUAGCUAGUUGGCGGAGUAAUGGCCCACCAAGGCUACGAUCAGUAGCUGGUCUGAGAGGAUGAUCAGCCACACUGGAACUGAGACACGGUCCAGACUCCUACGGGAGGCAGCAGUAAGGAAUAUUGCUCAAUGGGAGAAAUCCUGAAGCAGCAACGCCGCGUGAGGGAUGAAGGGCUUUUGCUCGUAAACCUCUGUAGUGAGGGAAAAAACUUCCACUCUGUGGAAUAUGAUGGUACCUCAAAAGUAAGCCCCGGCUAACUACGU